rnacentral:rRNA from 1 species
AUGGAUCUUGUGAGUGUGGAGCCAAGAGAUCUGUCGUUCCAUUUAUUGGAAGAAAUAACAGAUGGUUUCUCUGAAGAACGGAAACUUGGAAGCGGUGGGUUUGGAAAAGUUUACAUGGGCGUUCUUAAAGAUGGGGAAAAGAUUGCAGUGAAGCUGCUUCAUCCGUUGCCGGGACUCGAAGACAGUGAUCAACAAUUUCAGAAUGAGUUUGACAACCUUGUAAAGCUUCGACACCAAAACAUCGUGCAUUUAGUUGGCUAUUGCUAUGAAAUUCAGAAACGAUAUGUAGACUACAAUGGAAGAAAUAUUUUUGCUGAAGAUAUACGCAGGGUGCUCUGCUUUGAGUACAUGCAGAAAGGAAGCCUUGACAAGUAUCUUUCUGAUGAGUGUAGUGGGCAUGGCUGGAACACACGCUAUGCAAUAAUCAGGGGGAUAUGCAAGGGUUUGAAAUACCUUCACGAGGAAUUGGAAUCUCCUAUUUAUCAUCUGGAUUUGAAACCAGCUAAUGUAUUAUUGGAUGAGGAUAUGACACCGAAAAUCGCAGAUUUUGGCUUGUCCAGGUUCUUCUUCGGAGAAGAACAAACACAGGUUACAAAAACUUCUAUGGGGACAUUGGGGUACUUACCGCCAGAAUACAUAGAGAGGGGUGUGAUCUCAAAUAAGUUUGACAUAUUCAGCUUAGGUGUUGUAAUCAUAAAGAUAAUGACAGGACCUAAGGGCUACUCCAGAAGUGCUGAAAUGCUUUCCCAUCAAUUUAGUGAGCUUGUGAAUAAAAACUGGAGGAGUAGGUUUCAUUCCACAUCAUUAAACAUGGUGCAAUCAUAUUUGGAACAAGUGAAGACAUGCAUUGAAAUAGCUUUAAGCUGUGUCGAGGCCGAUCGGCAAAAAAGACCGGAUAUAGGGUAUAUUGUCAACAAGCUGGAUGAGACUGAGAUGUUGAUUCAGUUACAACAUGCAUUAAGUAUUGAUGCAGGGUCAUCCUUGAACCAGAUAAGCCCUGACAUGCCUACUGGGAGUGGCUUACUGGAUGCAUCUCCAAAAAUAGAGAGUGGGUGUCUGCAUGCAUCUCCAAAUAUAGAGGGUGGGUUACUGGAUAUCCACCCCUGCCAGCUCGACUUCCUGUUUGAGCCAAACAAGUUGAUCUCGUGUCCACUGCGCCUAACUAACAACUUAGGUGACCAGCAUGUCGCAUUUAGAUGUGUCCCAAAAACACCAGAGAUUUAUCUGGAUGGACUGUCGCAAUUCCAAGGCGUUCUCCCGCCAAGGUCCACUUGCACCUAUGUUCUAACAAUGGAAAUGCAACAACAUCCGCCGACGAACAUGGAUGCCCUUUCCUUGGUUCUAGAGAGUUGUGUAGUUCCCGAGGACAUAGGGGACAUAGAUGACUACAUGUCUAGACAAGGUCCAGGGCACGCGGUAAGAUUGAUGGCCAUUUGUGGUCCAGCAGGCAAGACUGUAACCUCCGAGCCUAUCCGACCACGAAUAAAGAUCAUAUACUGCAGGGAUGAGUUUCGGGAAACAUUAUCAAUGGACGUGCAUCCAACGGAGCCUUGGAUUUUGGGAGGUCAUUGUAAUGGAUACGUGUCCAUUUGGAACUACGAGACCCAGGAAAGAGUAAUAUCAAUGAGAGCCACAAAAGAGUCAGGACGACUUCAUGAUUCACACUGGAUUCUUUCAAUAAAAUUCAUCCCACGAAGGCAAUGGUUUGUCACUGGUGGUGGCAACGGAUACAUCCAGGUGUUUACGUGUAUGACAAUGGACGAGCUCACGGCUUUUAAAGCUCACUCUAGUUGGGUCGAAUCACUGGCUAUUCACCCAAGCCAGCCAUUUGUGCUGUCAGCAUCUGCCGACUGCUUGAUCAAGCUUUGGGACUGGGAGAAUGACUGGACGUGCGUUCGAACAUUCAGUGAACACUCAGACAAUGUGCAGCAAGUCAUGUUCAACCCGUGGGAAACCAACACUUUUGGCAGUGUUUCAAAGGAUUGCACCGCAAAGGUCUGGAGCAUUACUUCUGGUGAUUCUUUGGCCACAUUGAGCAGUAAAUCACAACAAGUCUGUGUUGAUUUUUUUCCUCCAAGUGGUAAUUGCCAGUAUAUGAUUACUGGAUCCGUCGAUGGAACUGCACGAAUCUGGAACCUAGAAGCAAAGAAAUGUGUCCGACAACUUAAGGGACUACAACAUACCGUAUGUGGCUGCACUGUUGGUGUGGUCCAUUUCCUCCCAGACCAUCCGACUCUGGUUACCGUUUCAGCGGACUAUGCUGUUUCUUUCCGUGACCCCACUACCUACAGGUAUGAACGCACAUUUGACUUUAAGCUCGACAUGGUUCGCGGUGGUUUUGCAUACCUUGAGCGCAUAAGGAGCCUGGUCAUCGGAUUUGAUGAUGGAUUUGCCAUCAUGGAAAUCAACUGA